UGACCUCAAGCACCACUUGCUGGACUUUCCAACAAGAGCUCUGCAAGCAUCAUGCACAAAGACAGAUAUUCCUAUGAUGCUGCUUAUAGUGGGAGACAGAGGGAUGUAGCAGCUCCUGCCACAUGGACUGCCCCAGAUGUUUCUGAAGAUCUGUCUAAGUGUUAAUAUUCUUUGGCAAAAAUAAGGCAAGGAAUCUGAGAGAAGUUGAUUUGGUUCAUUGAUCAAAAUAUACAUUUCUGAGAAGCCCCUGAUAUCAUAUAAUUGUACAAAGAGGAAGAGUAUCAGGGAAAUGUUAUGUGAUGGGAAGCUAGUAACACAUUUGAUGUGUUGAUUUCUAUUGCAACACCUACAAGGAGCUUCUCUGAUGGGCUGGAAGGCACUGGUUACUAGCUCAGUACUCAACACAGAACAUGGCAAGAAACAACUUGUGGUAAAGAUGGAUGACAGGAGACAGGCAGGAAGUUUAAGAACUGAAUUCAUAUGUGGAAUUUCAAGAACAUCUCUCAAAAAGAUGAAACCCACUCAGGACGCAUUAUAGGAAAUAAUUAAUCAUUCCACCCCUUGUAUACAAUCAAUAACACUAAAAGACUGUCUUGUCAUCUUAUCAGGCUACAUAGGUUUUAGCAGUUCCUUUAUUAAGCCUGGAAAAGAAAGCAAGGAGAGGGGCAUUCUUUGAACAUCCAAACACAGUGUCACACUGAGUGUGAUCCUGACACUGCCCAGGGAACCUGCUAUCCUUUGUUUACAGAUGGAUCUGUGAUAACCCGACAGCUCAGAUGGAAGGUCACUCCAGAGGACAAGCAGGGAGUUCUUUUCCAUCAUCCCUGAAUCCUGGAAAUGGAGGGGUUGACCACCCUGGCAAUCCAGGCUCUCUGUUAAAUUCUACUUUUCCUGCUGACAGAAGUAUGUGGAAUGUGAUCAGGAGAUAUUUGGGCAAUUUGUCUUCUCUUACAAGAAGGAGGGAGAGGGAAAGGUGGACAAACCCCUAUGAGCUAUCUGGAGAGAAUUUUAUUUUGAUAAAUAAAGUAAUACAGCCAUGAAAUUUUACAACUUUUUGACUACUGAGAUAGCAAUUGUGCAAGGCUGUUUUGGAUAUCCAUGUGCAUCCAUGCUAGCAGGUGUACACAAUCAUUAACACCACAUGUGAUAUCACAACUGCAUGAGAGGCAAUAAAUGUUAUCCCAUAGACUGACCUGAGCAUGUCCAGGCCAACAUUUCAUCCUCAUUUGCUGAGUCCAUGGGUGUCAUCACACACCACAAAGGGUUAACUCUUCCCUAUUCACAAAAGCACAGCUUGAGCAACAGGCUAGAAAUGCACUACAGCUUCUCCAGCUGUGGUAAAGCCUUGCAGUCCUCCUCAGAAAGAUCAUCAGAGAAGCAUUCACUUCUGGUAGAUCCAUAGUUCAUCUUGGUUGUCUUGAUUCAUUCUUCAGAUGACAGUGACAUAAACUGCUGCCUCAGAGGAAGGUAUCAAAACUUCUUCAACAGCAGUCAUUGAAUAAGGUGUCUACAAACUUUUCUCUUUUUUUCCCAAUACUUAAAAUAUGGAUUUUAGUUUCUUGUAUAAACUUCAGGGCUUCCAGCCUUGCCAGAAUCCUAAUAAUCCUUAUCUAUUAUUGAAUUUUCUGAAUAAUUUAACCCUUUCUUCAGUCCAGAUUUCAAAUGUAUUUUAGAUCUAUAAGCUGUCCAGACUUCUGACACGUGGCAUAAAUGAAGGAUUGCCAUUCAUUAUUUCUAAAUUUUUUGUCUAAUCAAAGCUUAAAAUAGAAUGUAGUCAAUUUGUUUCAAGUCUCCUACUAAUUAACUUUAGAUUUAUUUAUUCUUUGACAUUUAUUUGCCAAUGGUUGUUAUGAUUGUUUUUGACAAACAUUUAAAGCAAAUCGUCUUUGAUUACAUUGCCUUGUCCAAGCACCAACAAACUGACAUUUGACAUAAUUUGUCAAGUCACCAUUGGUUUAAGGCUGAAUUUUUCUUUAUCAUAUUUAAUCUGUCUUACAGUCAAUUUUCUCCUCAAGGUCAUUUUUACUUUUUUUCUCUAGCCAGAGAAGUAACUGCUAAAAGAAUUAAUUUAGCAAGGGAAAGAAUUAUACUUUGAAAAUUAAUGUAGAUAAUAAAAGCCACAAUUUAAUGCAUAAGGACAGGUUUGUUAAUAGAAGCACACAGGUUUCAUUACUGGCAUGUGACUGUCAAUAUUUUUAUGCAUCUCUCAGUUCACAGAGAAAUGUUGAUGAAGAAUGAGCGUCUUACUCAAGUUGUAGAUAAACCUUAGAUUGGGAUACUACCAGGUCCUUGUGAGGAGAGAAUUCAGCUAAGUAUAAAUUUUGUGUUUGACAUAAGGAAAUGGCAACAGAUCUAUUAAUUAUUUCAUUUUGAGAUGAUUUUAAAUUAAAGAAAAUCAAACUCAAACUUUCCUCCUCAAGUAAAUUAGAAACAAGAAUCAAAAAAUAAGAUUUACUUUAUUACAUUUAGUGCUAAGGGAUUUUCUUUUAAAGACAAUUUUCAAGCUUAUUUUUGAAAAGUUUGCAACUUUAGCGAUUAUUUGAAUGUCUUUGAUUAAAAAAAGGAAAAUCUGAGUGGGGAACACCUCUGCAGUGGCCCAUGUCUUUAUCAUUUCAGAUAAUUUUUCCUGUGUUCAUACAUAGUAUGAACAAUAUAUGGCAACUGGCAGAUCCAGUACGAAUGACCAAACACAUACAAUGAGAAUGAAAUCACUUUAAAGCAAUGCACCUCGAUAUCCAUGGCCUUGGCAAACACUCAGCAUUGUGCAAGAGUCUGUGCUUAUUUGGUUGUUACAUAAGUGAUUUACUUGCCAUGCUUUUCAUUUUCUGCAACUUGCUGUAGUUAUGCAAAAUAAUAUUUAUCAUUAUAGGGUAAUUUAAGAGAAAAAGAUUGUAAAAGCUACAUGACUGUGUAUAAAUGGUACAUGACAUGAAACUGUGAAAAUUUAAAUGUGCUUAUUCUAAUUUAAAACUUUAUAUUUAAUAUUUAUAUAUUAAUA